rnacentral:lncRNA from 1 species
GGGAUGAUAAUCUAAUUCUAAGGCCACAUGUCCCAUGCAAACCCUUUCUCAUUCUCUGGUUGAGCUACUUCUCUCUUUCUCACAUCGCCGUGGAGUGGACAAAUGUAGAGCUACUUCUCUUUUUCUCGCAGUGGAGUGGACAAAAAUAUUCGUGCUCUAGAGCUUACAUGGUAUUCAUUUUUUAAUUCCUGCUGUCCACGUGUCAUUUUGAUAAUUUCCCAAGAAUAAAGUUAUUGAAAAUUUUAGAAUAAUCUGCUAUGGUUUUGUCAUUGGACUUUCGAUUGAACCUUGAGUUGGAGGAUCUCGGUUUUUUUUUCAGAGAAAUCUUGAGGUCUUCAAUACCAUACAAUCUUAUUACAUGUCACUAGUAGACAUUGCAGGUUGGCUUGUGAGUAUGGCAUGAUUGAUUAACACACGUACCCAUCGUUAUAUAAGUCGACGAUAAAUGUAUGGUACAUCUCAAAGCGCAAAGGCACAGAUAGAGUUCACAUACAGUGGCAAAGUAAUGCAUGAGUUUAGAUAAAAAUGAAGCUUCUUUUGCAAGAUGCAUGUAAACUUGGCAUGGGAGAGAUUGGGAAGUUAAGUAAGGCCGAUGUUCACAUUGCCAUAUACAUUCAUACAUAGUGGCUAGCCAGGUAAUCACCAGUCAGUAGGCUUCCAUUGCCCUGAAGUACCUCAAUAUUGUCUUCCACAUGAGACUUAUUUUCCGUGGUCCAGAUGGAGUGCAAGUGAUGAAGGAAUAUGUUAAAUCAGACUGAUUUUGCAAGGCCUUCGGCUCCCUAUUCUCAUCAUCACAUUGUGCUGGCUCAUUUGGAAUGAGAGGAUUAUGAAAU